ensembl:lncRNA
AAUAACACGUGUGCCGAGUACUCCGUGUAAACCAGCUGUUCCAACAUCUGUUGCAGCAAUGAGAUGCUGAUGCAGGACCUGAUAUGGUUUAUCCAUUUCCAAGCACACGAGCGUUACAAAAAAAACGAUGAACGUGACCAAGUGGAGGCCUAUAUCUUCCGGCAGAUAACGGAAUUGUUCUGCCGUGGAAAUGGAGAAGUGAUGAUGUGUGAAGUCGCCACAGUCUUCUUCCACGUCUACAGCUGGCUUAGGAAGAAACGAACAAAUUGCGAAGGUGGUAACAGAUGGAAGGCAUGGUGUCGUCCUCUGGCAGAACCUUUGUGCUCCUCUCCACCAGAUGAUGAGCACAGAGAGGCUCUGAUUAAGAUGGGAGAUGAUCUUGGUAUGGAUACGUUCCACAGUAGCAGCGUAUUGUUUUCUAGCAUUAGCAUGUUGUAAUCAUGCAUGUAACUCUGCACUGUGUCACGAUUCCUGAUCCUCACAUGUAUGUU